rnacentral:rRNA from 1 species
UACGGAGGGUGCGAGCGUUGUCCGGAAUCACUGGGCGUAAAGGGCGCGUAGGCGGCCCUGGCAGUCGGUGGUGAAAGCCCGUGGCUCAACUGCGGGUCGGCCACCGAUACUCCAGGGCUCGAGUUUGGUAGAGGCAGAUGGAAUUCCGGGUGUAGCGGUGGAAUGCGUAGAGAUCCGGAAGAACACCGGUGGCGAAGGCGGUCUGCUGGGCC